rnacentral:lncRNA from 1 species
CAACAAAUGUGGGCCAAUUGCUGUGAGUUAAUUGAAAAGGAUUGUUUUCUAGUUGCCAAGAAACGGCCUUUCUUACACUAUGCAGGCCAUUCUGUGCACAGAUGAAACUUCCUGAUUUGUCUUUUAGGGUUUAAGAAUAUAGGCUGCUGUGGUUUCCUUGCCCCUUGUGGAGAAGAGCACACAUCAAGGUUUUCAGGGGGGUUGUUGCAUUUCAGUUUACCAGGUACAGCUGCUGCUGCUGCUGCUGCUGCUGUUGCUGUUGUUGCUGUUGUUGCUGUUCAGGCCCCACACCUGUAUAUAUGAAGCAGACACUCAACGACCAAGCUAUACCCGCUCCACCUUAGAGGUUUUUUGUUGUUGGGUACCAGGGGAUAAAAGGUUUUCUUUCAAGUUUUUCAGAUUUCUGAUACAUCAUCAUUUACCUUCUGACAUUUUAAUAUUGAAGCACCUGCCUGAACCACUGAGAUGAUGAUUACCUUAUUAUACUGCAGUUCCUUGUUGUGGUCCUUACUUCUUUGCAAAUUUCUACAAGGAAAAAAAUUUUAGCACGCAAUUUCUAUCUGGGCCAUGUAAAUCACCUUGUAUCAAAAGCACACCAUAACUAUUUAUUGAAUGACUAAAUAUGUACCUCGACUGAAUGAUUAUUAUUUUAAGUGUAUUUACAACUUUUACAUGACAUUUAAUUAAUGACAGCACUAU